rnacentral:rRNA from 1 species
UGCUUUACACAUGCAAGUCGAACGGUAACAGGGAGCUUGCUCCGCUGACGAGUGGCGAACGGGUGAGUAAUAUAUCGGAACGUACCCAAGAGUGGGGGAUAACGUAGCGAAAGUUACGCUAAUACCGCAUACGAUCCAAGGAUGAAAGCAGGAGACCGCAAGGCCUUGUGCUCCUGGAGCGGCUGAUAUCUGAUUAGCUAGUUGGUAGGGUAAAGGCCUACCAAGGCAUCGAUCAGUAGCUGGUCUGAGAGGACGACCAGCCACACUGGAACUGAGACACGGUCCAGACUCCUACGGGAGGCAGCAGUGGGGAAUUUUGGACAAUGGGCGCAAGCCUGAUCCAGCAAUGCCGCGUGAGUGAAGAAGGCCUUCGGGUUGUAAAGCUCUUUUGUCAGGGAAGAAACGGGUGGGGCUAAUAUCCCCAUCUAAUGACGGUACCUGAAGAAUAAGCACCGGCUAACUACGUGCCAGCAGCCGCGGUAAUACGUAGGGUGCAAGCGUUAAUCGGAAUUACUGGGCGUAAAGCGUGCGCAGGCGGUUUUGUAAGUUUGUCGUGAAAUCCCCGGGCUCAACCUGGGAAUGGCGAUGAAGACUGCAAGGCUAGAGUUUGGCAGAGGGGGGUAGAAUUCUACGUGUAGCAGUGAAAUGCGUAGAGAUGUGGAGGAACACCGAUGGCGAAGGCAGCCCCCUGGGUCAAAACUGACGCUCAUGCACGAAAG